rnacentral:rRNA from 1 species
UGGGGAAUAUUGGACAAUGGGCGCAAGCCUGAUCCAGCCAUACCGCGUGGGUGAAGAAGGCCUUCGGUUGUAAAGCCCUUUUGUUGGGAAAGAAAUCCAGCUGGCUAAUACCCGGUUGGGAUGACGGUACCCAAAGAAUAAGCACCGGCUAACUUCGUGCCAGCAGCCGCGGUAAUACGAAGGGUGCAAGCGUUACUCGGAAUUACUGGGCGUAAAGCGUGCGUAGGUGGUCGUUUAAGUCCGUUGUGAAAGCCCUGGGCUCAACCUGGGAACUGCAGUGGAUACUGGGCGACUAGAGUGUGGUAGAGGGUAGCGGAAUUCCUGGUGUAGCAGUGAAAUGCGUAGAGAUCAGGAGGAACAUCCAUGGCGAAGGCAGCUACCUGGACCAACACUGACACUGAGGCACGAAAAGCGUGGGGAGCAAACAGGAUUAGAUACCCUGGUAGUCCACGCCCUAAACGAUGCGAACUGGAUGUUGGGUGCAAUUUGGCACGCAGUAUCGAAGCUAACGCGUUAAGUUCGCCGCCUGGGGAGUACGGUCGCAAGACUGAAACUCAAAGGAAUUGAC